rnacentral:rRNA from 1 species
CAAUAGCGUAUAUUAAAGUUGUUGCAGUUAAAAGCUCGUAGUUGAACUUCUGUACAUUCCCAGAUCUGGCGCUUGCGCCGAGCUGGGGGUGUGCAUCCGCUUGCAAACCUAGACCGGUCUUUACUGAUCGACUAGGGGAGUAAGCCCUUUACUUUGAAAAAUUAGAGUGUUUCAGGCAGGCAAUGGCUCGAAUACAUUAGCAUGGAAUAAUGGAAUAGGACUUUUGUCCAUUUUAUUGGUUAUUGGACAUGAGUAAUGAUUAACAGGGACAGUUGGGGGCAUUAGUAUUUAAUUGUCAGAGGUGAAAUUCUUGGAUUUAUUAAAGACUAACUUAUGCGAAAGCAUUUGCCAAGGAUGUUUUCAUUAAUCAAGAACGAAAGUUAGGGGAUCAAAGAUGAUCAGAUACCGU